rnacentral:rRNA from 1 species
UUUGGUCAUCAUGCGAAUGUGAGAUACACCUGUUCCAUGUCGACACAGAAGUUCAGUCCAUCAUACGCGGAAGACUUGGGGUUGCCCCUGGGAUGAUGCGAGUGGCCAACA